rnacentral:rRNA from 1 species
AUUGGAUGAGCCCGCGGCCUAUUAGCUUGUUGGUAGGGUAACGGCCUACCAAGGCUUCGAUGGGUAGCCGGCCUGAGAGGGUGUACGGCCACACUGGAACUUAGACACGGUCCAGACUCCUACGGGAGGCAGCAGUGGGGAAUUUUGCGCAAUGGGCGAAAGCCUGACGCAGCGACGCCGCGUGGAGGAUUAAGACCUUCGGGUUGUAAACUCCUGUCAGAGGUGAAGAAAGUCUCCUUCGGGAGGCCUGACGGUAACCUCGGAGGAAGCCCCGGCUAACUACGUGCCAGCAGCCGCGGCCGAAU